UCCAGCUUCAUCCAUGUCCCUGCAAAGGACAUGAAUGCAUCCCUUUUUAUGGCUGCAUAGUAUUCCAUGGUGUCUAUGUGCCACAUUUUCUUUAUCCAGUUUAUCACUGAUGGGCAUUUGGGUUGGUUCCAAGUCUUUGCUGUUGUGAAUAGGAGCACAUCCUCCUGAUUCAACAAUGAGAUCAUCGUCCACUGUUCUGUUCAGGAGUACAGAAAGGUCCCAGGCUGCUAAGACAAUCUCGAAUUCUCUCAACACCCCACAGCUUGUCAAUACUGGAGGUAUUCUGGUGAUUUUUUUUUUUUGGAAAGUGGCUAUUUAUAUAUCACAAGGUUUCUUGAUUACAAAAGCAGUCAACUGGCCAGGCGCAGUGGCUCAUGCCUGUAAUCCCAGCACUUUGGGAGGCCAAGGCUGGUGGAUCAUGAGGUCAGGAGAUCGAGACCAGCCUGGCCAACAUGGUGAAACCCUGUCUCUACUAAAAAUACAAAAAUUAGCCAGGCAUGGUGGUCAUCCUUUUUUAUGGCUGCAUAGUAUUCCAUGCAUACAUGGCACAUUUUCUUUAAGGGUGCAUGUUGGGAGGAGGGAAAGGAUCAGAAAAAAAUAACUUAUUGUGUACAAAGCUUUGUACCUGGGUGACAAAAUAAUCUGUACAACAAACCCCUAUGACAUGAGUUUACCUAUAUAACAAACCCACACAUGUACCCCUAGACCUAAAUAAAAGUGUUUUUGUUUGUUUGUGUUUUUGUUUUUGUUGUGUUUGUAUGUUUGUAAUCCCAACUACUUGGGAGGCUGAGGCAGGAGAAUUGCUUGAACCCGGGAGGUGUAGGUUGCAGUGAUCAGAGAUCGCUCCAGCCUUGGUGACAGAGUGAGACUCCAUCUCCAAAAAAAAAACCAAAAAACAAAAAACUCGUCUCUCUACCUACCUGCUCUCUUUCCCCAUUCCUGUUACAUAGAUUACUUCUUACCUCCCCAGGUACCCUGGAAGGUCAGAGUCUUCCCUUCUUCCUUCUAUUUAAAUAAAACAAUAUGAGAAAACUGCUUGACAGGUGGUUCCAAGCAUCAGUGGGGUGAAAAAACAAUAUUCUUCGUGAUGUGGGUAACACCAGGAAAAAAAAAAAUCAGUGUCUCUUGUCCAUAGGUUCUCAUCAUUUAGCUCUCACUUUUAUUUUUAAUUAAUUAAUUUUUUUUUGAGACAGAGUCUCACUCUGUCACCCAGGCUGGACUGCAGUGGCAAGAUCUCGGCUCACUGUACACUCCACCUCCCGAGUUCAAGUGAUUCUCCUGCCUCAACCUCCUGGGUCACUGGGAUUACAGGUGUCUGCCAGCACUCCUGGCUAACUUUUGUAUUUUCAGUAGAGACGGGACUUCACCAUAUUGGUCAGGCUGGUCUAGAACUCCUGUCCUCAAAUGAUCUGCCCUCCUCGGCCUCCCAGAGUGCUGGGAUUACAGGCAUGAGCCACUGUGCCUGGCUGGUAACGCUCUUUCAUGAUAGAAUCUUUAUUUUUAAAUUUAUUUAUUUAUUUUGAGACUGAGUCCCACUCUGCCACUCAGGCUGGAGUACAGUGGCACGAUCUCGGCUCACUGCAACCUUCACCACCCGGGUUCAAGUGAGUCUUCUGCCUCAGUGCCCCCCGAGUGUCUAGGAUUACAGGCAUGCGCCACCAUGCCGAGCUAAUUUUUGUAUUUUUAGGAGAAAUGAGGUUUCAUCAUGUUGGCCAGGCUGGUCUCUAACUCCUGACCUUAAGUGAUCCACCCACCUUGGCCUCCCAAUGUGAUGGAAUUACAAGUGUGAGCCACCACACCCGGCUGGCUCCCACUUUUAAAUGAAAACGUGUGGUAUUUAGUUUUCUGUUCCUGCAUUGGUUUGCUAAGCAUACCAUAGCUCCAGCUGUGUUCCUGCAAAAGAUAUGAGCUCAUCCUUUUUUAUGGCUGCAUAGUAUCCCAUGCAUAUGUGGCACAUUUUCUUUAAGGGUGCAGGUUGGGAGGAGGGACUGGAUCAGAAAAAAAUAACUUAUUGUGUACAAAGUUUGUACCUGGGUGACAAAAUAAUCUGUACAACAAAACCCUAUGACAUGAGUUUACCUAUAUAACAAACCCACACAUGUACCCCUGGACCUAAAAUAAAAGUGUUUUUGUUUGUUUGUUUUUUUGUUUUUGUUGUGUUUGUAUGUUUGUUUGAGAUGGAGUCUCUGCCUUUGUUGCUCAGGCCAGAGUACAGUGGUGCAAUCUUGGCUCACUGCAACCUCCACCUCCCAGAAAAAGAAAGCAAAUACGGCAAACAGCAUCAGCUUUUUAGAAGAAGCUGGAGCUUCUGGUGGGUGGACCAUGCUGGAGCUUCUGGUGGGUGGGCGAUGCUGGAGCUUCUAGUGGGUGGACCAUGCUGGGGCUUCUGGUGGGUGAACCAUACUGGAGCUUCUGGUAGGUGGACCAUGGUGGAGCUUCUGGUGGGUGGACCAUGCUGGGGCUUCUGGUGGGUGAACCAUACUGGAGCUUCUGGUAGGUGGACCAUGGUGGAGCUUCUGGUGGGUAGACCAUGGUGGAGCUUCUGGUGGGUGGAGCAUGCUGGAGCUUCUGGUGGGGUAAAUCAUGCUGGAGCUUCUGGUGGGUAAAUCAUGCUGGAGCUUCUGGUGAGUAGACCACGGUGGAGCUUCUGGUGGAUAAAUUAUGCUGGCGCUUCUCGUGGGUAAAUCAUGCUGCAACUUCUGGUGGGUAAAUCAUGCUGGAGCUUCUGGUGAGUAGACCACGGUGGAGCUUCUGGUGGAUAAAUUAUGCUGGAGCUUCUCGUGGGUAAAUCAUGCUGGAGCUUCUGGUGGGUGGACCAUGCUGGAGCUUCUCAUGGGUAAAUCAUGCUGGAGCUUCUGGUGGGUGGAUCAUGCUGGAGCUUCUGGUGGGUGGAUCAUGCUCGAGCUUCUGGUGGAUGGACCAUGCUGGAGCUUCUGGUGGGUGGACCAUGGUGGAGCUUCUGGUGAGUAGACCAUGGUGGGAGCUUCUUGGAGGUAAAUUAUGCUGGAGCUUCUGAUGGGUGGACCAUGCUGGAGCUUCUGGUGGGUGGACCAUGGUGGAGCUUCUGGUGGGUGGACCAUGGUGGAGCUUCUGGUGGGUAAAUUAUGCUGGAGCUUCUGGUGGGUGGACCAUGUUGGAACCUCUGGUGGGUGGAUCAUGCUGAAGCUUCUGGUGGGUAAAUCAUGCUGAAGCUUCUGGUGGGUAAAUCAUGCUGGAACCUCUGGUGGGUAAAUCAUGCUGGAGCUUCUGGUGGGUAAAUUAUGUUGGAGCCUCUGGUGGGUAAAUCAUGCUGAAGCUUCUGGUGGGUAAAUCAUGCUAGAGCCUCUGGUGGGUAAAUCAUGCUGGAGCCUCUGGUGGGUAAAUCAUGCUGGAGCCUCUGGUGGGUAAAUCAUGCUGGAGCCUCUGGUGGGUGGGGUAUCCACACACCUGUGGGUGCCAAUUGAUAGUGGGGACUUCACCCCAUGUCCCAGAAUCCUGCAAGGAGGCCACAUGCCCCAUAAAUUCUUUCCAGUAAGUUAAUACGUCCACAGCACGCUGUGCGUUCCCCCAAAAAUGACAUCGGCCAAUUACACUUUCAAAUCACAUGCCUUCCUGAUGGGCAAAACUGGAAAUGUGAACACACUUUAAUCCUCAGAUAAUGUAAUGGUUUACAUCUGGGGCUCUUCAGGCAGCCCAUGGCUGGUUCACGUUGCUCCCUUCCAAUAAAUGUUUUGCAGUAUGUGUCUUGUUUAAUAACGAUUUAAACAUGGAAAAUAAAUGCUUUCCUCUUAGGCGUCCACCUGUCUAUCACCCGGAGUCUGGGAGGACGGCCCUUCUUUUCAACGGCAUUCGCCAAGCCAGUCUCCAUGAAUCACUGACAGAGUCCUCUAAUGGUUUCCUUUUUUGUUGUUGUUGUUUAACACUUAAGCAUUG
rnacentral:lncRNA from 1 species